ACGGCCCAACAAUCCAAACGCCACAACCUCAACCUCCACUUCUUUUUUCCCGUCUCCCCUGAGCUCCGAUGACGACGCUCUCCAGGAUGCUGCCGCGGUUGCGCUCCUCCGCCACGCGCGCCCUCCGCAAGGUGUUCGGACUGGAACCCGCGGCGCCGCCGCGACGGCUCCCCGCCCCUGAAGCCUUCGUCGCGUCUGAGAGAUCACUCCUGCGCCCUCUUCCUGGCCUGGACCUCCCGCCGUGCCUCCCCGACAACCUGAGCCGCAGCCCCACCCGGGUCACCACGCUCCCCAACGGCCUCCGCGUCGCCACCGAGGACAUCCCGGGUCCUUCUGCGUGCAUCGGUUUCUUCGUCAACUCCGGCUCCGUCUACGAGUCCGGGGAGACCACCGGCGUGUCAUACCUGCUGGAGAGGAUGGGCUUCAAGGACACCAAGCACCGGAGCCACCUCAGCAUCGUGAGCGAGCUCGAGCUUGCCGGGGCCAGCGUCAGCGUCUCCGCCUCCCGGGAGCAGAUGGUCUACAGCUACGACACACUCAAGGGAUACAUGCCCGAGGCUCUCGAGAUCCUCAUCGACUGCAUGCGCAACCCGCUCUUCCUCCAGGAAGAAGUCCAACGGCAGCUGGUCCUUGCUCGAGAAGGAUUCCAGGAGCUGCAGAGGAGCCCUGAAAGAUUUCUCCAUGAACAGCUUAACAUUGUUGGAUUUUCGGGUGCUCUUGCGAAUCCACUAAUAGCUCCUGAGCAUGUCCUUGCUAGAAUUAAUGACAGGAUUAUUCAAAAGUUCUAUCAUGAAAAUUUUACUGCUGAUCGUGUGGUUCUAGCAGCAGCAGGUGUUGAUCACGAACACAUGCUAGGCUAUGCAGAUUUUUUGUUGAAAGAUUGGCACAGGGGGGCCCCAAUGGAAAAGCCAAAGUCUACAUAUGUUGGUGGAUAUUCCAAACACAGAGCUUAUUCAGAUAUGACAGAUGUUGCAUUAGCUUUUGAAGUGCCAGGGGGCUGGUUUCAAGAGAGAGACGCCGCGAUUAUGACUGUCAUACAGACUUUAAUGGGUGGUGGUGGUUCAUUUUCCACUGGUGGUCCUGGAAAAGGGAUGCAUUCACGGCUUUCUCUACGUGUCCUAAAUAAAUAUCACUUUGUCGAGUCCCUUUCUGCAUUUAGUAAUGUAUAUGACAACACUGGCCUCUUUGGUAUCUACUUGACCACGUCACCAUAUCAUGUGGCAAAGGCUGUUGAUAUCGCAAUAAGUGAAUUAAUUGCUGUUGCAACUCCCGGAGAAGUGACAGAGGUUGAACUGCGACGAGCAAAAAACUCAACGAUUUCAUCUGUAUUAAUGAACCUCGAAUCUAGGGUAAUCAUGAAUCCCUGGUCCAUUUCUGCUUCCUGUCAGGAAGCCUAUGGACAACUUCCUUCAACGUAUGGAAGGAAUUACUCUAGAUGAUGUCGCAACAUUUGCCAGGAAGAUGCUAGCUUCACGACCCACAAUGGUUAGCUGGGGAGAUGUUGACAAAGUUCCUCCAUAUGAAUCUAUUUGCAAGCGGCUACGAUAAGUACCCCUACACAAUGACCUCUGGUUGACUUUGAAGGAUCCUUCCGUUGAAAACUAAACAAUCGCUUGUAUGAAGUGCCCUAGCUCAGGAACUGCUUUUCUUUGGGGCAUUCAAUUUAGUGAGCUUAGGAUUUCAGCAGCUACGUUCAGUUGUAACUGUUCCAUAGUAGAUUAGGAAGACUGGCGAUCAUUUUUAUGUCCAUUUUCUGCGACUAUGGAUAGCAGGAGUAUUCUGCUGGCCUGAAUUCCCGGUGUAAACGGCUUCUGAAAUUUUGAAUCAUUGAUAAACUAAUAGUGUUUGGUUUGAGGAAAUUUUUAUUUGUUUCAUAUAGAAUGGAAAUUGUAAACCAUGACACUGAUUAGUCAAAUGUUCCAAGUGCAAAUGACCCAAAACACUGUUGGGCAGAAGCCGAUGGUGAUUGCUA